GAUGAACGCUGGCGGCGUGCCUAAUACAUGCAAGUCGAGCGAACAGACGAGGAGCUUACUCCUCUGACGUUAGCGGCGGACGGGUGAGUAACACGUGGAUAACCUACCUAUAAGACUGGGAUAACUUCGGGAAACCGGAGCUAAUACCGGAUAACAUGUUGAACCGCAUGGUUCAACAGUGAUAGACGGUCUUGCUGUCACUUAUAGAUGGAUCCGCGUCGCAUUAGCUAGUUGGUAAGGUAACGGCUUACCAAGGCAACGAUGCGUAGCCGACCUGAGAGGGUGAUCGGCCACACUGGAACUGAGACACGGUCCAGACUCCUACGGGAGGCAGCAGUAGGGAAUCUUCCGCAAUGGGCGAAAGCCUGACGGAGCAACGCCGCGUGAGUGAAGAAGGUCUUCGGAUCGUAAAACUCUGUUAUUAGGGAAGAACAAAUGUGUAAGUAACUAUGCACGUCUUGACGGUACCUAAUCAGAAAGCCACGGCUAACUACGUG
rnacentral:rRNA from 1 species